rnacentral:rRNA from 1 species
UAGGGAAUAUUGGACAAUGGGGGCAACCCUGAUCCAGCCAUGCCGCGUGAGUGAAGAAGGCCCUCGGGUUGUAAAGCUCUUUUGUCCGGAAAGAAAAGCAUUCGGUGAAUACCCGGAUGUUCUGACGGUACCGGAAGAAUAAGCACCGGCUAACUUCGUGCCAGCAGCCGCGGUAAUACGAAGGGUGCAAGCGUUACUCGGAAUUACUGGGCGUAAAGCGUGCGUAGGUGGUUGUUUAAGUCUGAUGUGAAAGCCCUGGGCUCAACCUGGGAAUGGCAUUGGAAACUGGGCAGCUAGAGUGCGGUAGAGGGUAGUGGAAUUCCCGGUGUAGCAGUGAAAUGCGUAGAUAUCGGGAGGAACAUCUGUGGCGAAGGCGACUGCCUGGACCAGCACUGACACUGAGGCACGAAAGCGUGGGGAGCAAACA